GAACGCACCUUGCACUCUUUGGUAUUCCGAAGAGUAUGUCUGUUUGAGUGUCAUGAAAUUCUCAACCCCCUUGUUUUGUAAUGAAACGAGCAUGGGCUUGGAUUAUGGCUGCUGCCGGCGUAAUUGUCGACUCGGCUGAAAUACACGAGCUACCCAUUUCUAAGAAAUAGACGGUUUGACUCGGCGUAAUAACAUAUUUCGCUGAGGACGUCACAUUCUUUAAACAUUAGUGGUGCUUCUAAUGCGACAUCUAAACCUAAGCUUUAGACCUCAAAUCAGUCAGGACUACCCGCUGAACUUA
rnacentral:misc_RNA from 1 species